CUUUCCUUUGUAAUCUUUUCUUUUCUCACCAAAUCUGCUCUUCCAAACUAGCUAUCAGUCAACUCCUUUAUUCUUAACCCCAUUUAUUCAUUUUCCAAAACCCUAGCAGCAACGGAGGCAGCAGCCGCCGUCAUCAAAGAUGCAGAUCUUCAUGAAAACCUUGACGGGGAAGACCAUCAACCACUUGAGGUGGAGUCUUCUAACACCAUCGACAAUGUCAAGGCCAAAAUCCAGGACAAGGAGGCCAUCCCCUUGGACCAGCAGUGCCUCAUCUUCGCCGACAAAUAGCUGGAGGACGGCUGCACCCUAGUCGACUACAACAUCCAAAAGGAGUCCACCCUCCACCUCAUCCUCCGCCUCCGCGCCAAGAAGCUCAAGAAGAAGACCUACACCAAGCCCAAGAAGAUCAAGCACAAGAAGAAGAAGGUCAAGCUUGCCGUCCUCCAGUUCUACAAGGUCAAUGCUCAGGAAUUCAAGGUGGGGGAUGAAGUAUUCGAAGACAUUGACAAAGCCAAAGGGAUGUGGGUCACUGGCGGAGUACACUACAGUGGAGGAGAAGGUACUUGCUUCGAAGCCCAAGAAUUUGAGUUUUGCUGAGGCUGCUAGCCUUCCUGUUGCCGUUGAAUAGCGUACAGGAGAGUUGAAAGCACUAGGCUUUCAGCUGGUAAAUCACUUCUUGUUCUGGGUGGUGCUGGUAGAGUUGGAUCUUUUAUCAUUCAGGUCUAUGCAGCUGCUACUGUCUUUCUUGUACCUUUUUUGGAGAGGAAGGGAAAUUUCCUGAGGAUUGGAAAUGAUUCAGAUAGGUUGUCUUCAAUUGAGUCAAAAAGUGCAUUGGUUGGGAAUGAGAGCCAAAAAAUGAAGGGUUAUUGUCUGCUACAUCCUCCUCACAUAGCAAGCUGCUGAAGAUAUGUUGCUUAUUUUAGAUUUUUGGAAAGAUCAACAGCAAGAGUUGUUAAUUGACUCAAGAACUAUAGAGAAAAUCUUAUGCUCAAGAUAUGUUUCAACGACACAUUUUUUUUGGGGACUUGGAUUUGUUUUGUAAAACUGCCUUGACUUAUAUGUGAAAUUUAGGUCAAAUACCACUUAUCAAACUAUUUGUAGGGUGUUGUUGAACUUGAUUAUGAUAUUU